rnacentral:rRNA from 1 species
GACGAACGCUGGCGGCGUGCUUAACACAUGCAAGUCGAACGGAAAGGCCCUGCUUUUGUGGGGUGCUCGAGUGGCGAACGGGUGAGUAACACGUGAGUAACCUGCCCUUGACUUUGGGUUAACUUCAGGAAACGGGGGCUAAUACCGGUUAGGAGCUCCGGCUGCAUGGUGGGGGUGGGAAGGUUUCGGCGGUUGGGGAUGGACUCGCGGCUUAUCAGCUUGUUGGUGGGGUAGUGGCUUACCAAGGCUUUGACGGGUAGCCGGCCUGAGAGGGUGACCGGCCACAUUGGGACUGAGAUACGGCCCAGACUCCUACGGGAGGCAGCAGUGGGGAAUAUUGCACAAUGGGCGGAAGCCUGAUGCAGCAACGCCGCGUGCGGGAUGACGGCCUUCGGGUUGUAAACCGCUUUCGCCUGUGACGAAGCGUGAGUGACGGUAAUGGGUAAAGAAGCACCGGCUAACUACGUG